rnacentral:rRNA from 1 species
UUUACUAUAGCUUGACACUGAACAUUGAGCCUUGAUGUGUAGGAUAGGUGGGAGGCUUGGAAGUGUGGACGCCAGUCUGCAUGGAGCCGACCUUGAAAUACCACCCUUUAAUGUUUGAUGUUCUAACGUUGACCCGUAAUCCGGGUUGCGGACAGUGUCUGGUGGGUAGUUUGACUGGGGCGGUCUCCUCCUAAAGAGUAACGGAGGAGCACGAAGGUUGGCUAAUCCUGGUCGGACAUCAGGAGGUUAGUGCAAUGGCAUAAGCCAGCUUGACUGCGAGCGUGACGGCGCGAGCAGGUGCGAAAGCAGGUCAUAGUGAUCCGGUGGUUCUGAAUGGAAGGGCCAUCGCUCAACGGAUAAAAGGUACUCCGGGGAUAACAGGCUGAUACCGCCCAAGAGUUCAUAUCGACGGCGGUGUUUGGCACCUCGAUGUCGGCUCAUCACAUCCUGGGGCUGAAGUAGGUCCCAAGGGUAUGGCUGUUCGCCAUUUAAAGUGGUACGCGAGCUGGGUUUAGAACGUCGUGAGACAGUUCGGUCCCUAUCUGCCGUGGGCGCUGGAGAACUGAGGGGGGCUGCUCCUAGUACGAGAGGACCGGAGUGGACGCAUCACUGGUGUUCGGGUUGUCAUGCCAAUGGCACUGCCCGGUAGCUAAAUGCGGAAGAGAUAAGUGCUGAAAGCAUCUAAGCACGAAACUUGCC